rnacentral:rRNA from 1 species
AACGAACGCUGGCGGCAGGCUUAACACAUGCAAGUCGAGCGCCCCGCAAGGGGAGCGGCCGGCGGGUGAGUAACGCGUGGGAACGUACCUUUUGGUUCGGAACAACUCCGGGAAACUGGAGCUAAUACCGGAUAAGCCCUAACGGGGAAAGAUUUAUCGCCGAAAGAUCGGCCCGCGUCUGAUUAGCUAGUUGGUGAGGUAACGGCUCACCAAGGCAACGAUCAGUAGCUGGUCUGAGAGGAUGAUCAGCCACACUGGGACUGAGACACGGCCCAGACUCGUGGGGGAGGCAGACGUAGGGAAUAGGCCGGAAUGGGCGAGAGACUGACGGAGCAAAGGGGCGUGAGUGAGGAAGGGGUUUGGAGCGGAAAACUGUGGUAUUAGGGAAGAACAAAGGGGCAAGUAACUAUGCACGGCGGGACGGGAACUAAUCAGAAAGCCACGGCCAAUUACGUG